UAAAAGAAUAUUCACAUGGUAAAUAAUGUAAAAAAAAACAAAUAAUCAAAAAGGCAAAAUUCAAUUACAAAAAAAAACAAGAUUUAGAAUAUAAAGAAUCGUUUUCAAGCAAACAUGAAAUAUAUUAGAUUUUGAAGGCAAACGUUAACACUGCUUCUACACAUUGCCAUUCACAAAGACAAUAUUAACAAUCUUGAAAUUUUUCUCUAUUUUCAGAAGAAUGGGUCGGUCGCCUCGUCAGCUCUAGAUGGAUGACCAAGAAUCGCCAAAACGGUACUGCGGCCUUGAUGCUGGCCUCUGCGGCCAAUAAGGUCUCUUCAAGUUCUCGUCGGUCCGUCCGUCUGGUUUUCGGGUCUUUUUUUUUGUUGUGCUACCUUUUUAGCACCGUAGGACCAACAUCGGCUGAUUGGAGGACGAAAAUGUCCUUUAACUGCGUUGCUACCUAACCUAACCAUGAGCUCAUGUUUGGUUAUAGCCUGUAACCCAAACAACGGCAGUCCAAGGGUCGAACGUCAGUAAAGCAGUUUGGUUU